GAUGAACGCUAGCUACAGGCUUAACACAUGCCAGUCGAGGGGAAACGGCAUUAAGUGCUUGCACUUUUUGGACGUCGACCGGCGCACGGGUGAGUAACGCGUAUCCAACCUUCCCAUGACUAAGGGAUAACAUGCCGAAAGGCAGACUAAUACCUUAUCGUCUUCACUGACGGCAUCAGAUGUGAAGUAAAGAUUUAUCGGUUAUGGAUGGGGAUGCGUCUGAUUAGCUUGUUGGCGGGGUAACGGCCCACCAAGGCAACGAUCAGUAAGGGUUCUGAGAGGAAGGUCCCCCACAAUGGAACUGAGACACGGUCCAAACGCCUACGGGAGGCAGCAGUGAGGAAUAGUGGUCGAGGGGCGAGAGCCUGAACCAGCCAAGUAGCGUGCAGGAUGACGGCCCUAUGGGUUGUAAACUGCUUUUGUAUGGGGAGAAAGUCAAUCACGUGUGAUUGUUUGCAGGUACCAUACGAAUAAGGACCGGCUAAUUCCGUG
rnacentral:rRNA from 1 species